GAAUGCUUAUUUUUAGUUAGCUUUGCGACUGUAUCAAAAAUAAAUGUUUGAUUAUUUUUACUCUCCUCAAUCAGGUUGAUAAAGUAGGCUGAUUCAGCAGGAUUGAGGGCUGUGGACUUCUCCAUGUGAAUAUUGAAGUUACCAAAGAUUUUAAUAUUAUCUGCCAUGACUACGAGGUCCAAUAGGAAUUCAGGGAACUCUGUAUAGUAGCUAUAAAAAGUGACUGAGAAGGCUGCAAUUAACUGAUUAUAUACCCAAAGUAAGAUACUUAUUCUAAGUUGCCAAAGCUCGAAAAAACCAACAUGUGGUUACUUUUUGACUGAAAGACCUGUGACUUCCUGUCUCUCUCUCUGGUCUCCAGGUUAAAAAGGAUGUGGAUAUGGAGACUCCUCCUCUAAAGCUGAGGGUGAUGUACCCGUACCUAUCACCUAGUGAGAACAUCCUGCUAUACCUGACACAUGUCACCUCCUCACAGGAUGUGAGAUGUCACGUCAGGGACCUGAUUAACCCUUUAAAGAUCAACAACAACAACACGCACACCAUCAAUCCUAAAAAAGAGACCCUCAGUGUCUUUCUGGUGGGCUGUAAGGACCACCCGUGUAAGUCAU